AUCGCUUCUUGUCCUUUUGGCUGAGAUCAACUGUAGUAUCUGUUAUUAUCAGCUUAAUAUCUGACACAUCCUCUCUCCGAGGACAUCAUAUUAAGUGGAGUUUUGGAGCUGGGAAAUGGAAUAGGAGCUUGCUCCAUCCACUCCAAACAUGGACCCGAUAAUGUGGUACUUCUGGAAAAGGUGCACCCCCU